GACGAACGCUGGCGGCGUGCUUAACACAUGCAAGUCGAACGGUGAAGCUCCAGCUUGCUGGAGUGGAUCAGUGGCGAACGGGUGAGUAACACGUGAGCAACCUGCCCCUGACUCUGGAAUAAGCGCUGGAAACGGCGUCUAAUACUGGAUACGAGAAGGGUCCGCAUGGGCACUUUCUGGAAAGUUUUUCGGUUGGGGAUGGGCUCGCGGCCUAUCAGCUUGUUGGUGAGGUAAUGGCUCACCAAGGCGACGACGGGUAGCCGGCCUGAGAGGGCGACCGGCCACACUGGGACUGAGACACGGCCCAGACUCCUACAGGAGGCAGCAGUGGGGAAUAUUGCACAAUGGGCGAAAGCCUGAUGCAGCGACGCCGCGUGAGGGAUGACGGCCUUCGGGUUGUAAACCUCUUUCAGCAGGGAAGAAGCGAAAGUGACGGUACCUGCAGAAGAAGCACCGGCUAACUACGUG
rnacentral:rRNA from 1 species